rnacentral:lncRNA from 1 species
AUGUUAUCAUUUAGUGUCAUCCUUGAUAAAAUUUCAGCAACUUGUUAAGUUUGAAUCUUAUUUUAGGGUUUGCUAGGACGCUUACCAACAUGAAACGUUUCCUUGAUUAGUCAUAAUGAAUAUUCGAGGAUGAUGUUUAGGAGAGUAUAAGUGCCACCAAAUGUAUGUAUGAAUAUUGCAUGAAUGCUUUUGAAUAGGAAUGUUUGGAUGAUUACCUUUGAAUCGAAGCUUCUUUUUUUUGUCGUGUUUCAGGUUGUAGCCCCUUGCGAAUGACGACAAAGUGAAUGGCGGUAGAAUCGGUUGUACUUAGUUUAGCUCGUGCUUGUAACUUUUUGUAAUAAUUUUUCUUCUUUAUUUUGGACUGUGACUUGGGGUGCAGAGAUUUUUCCGUCCCAAAAAACCCUCUUCCCCCAUUUCUCCACUUGCUUGUCCAUUUAAAUGAAGAAAAGGGGCUGCCACCUCCCCUCUACUCCAAUUAAACUUUGCAACGUUUUUUUAAAAAAAAAAUUUGCAACGUUUUUUGAAACAAAACAAGAGGUGGCAGCCUCUUAAUUAAUAACAGUAGCGGGCCCAAAAUUGGGCCCAAAAUACCGGGC